rnacentral:rRNA from 1 species
CCCAGACUCCUACGGGAGGCAGCAGUGGGGAAUAUUGCACAAUGGGGGAAACCCUGAUGCAGCGACGCCGCGUGAGCGAAGAAGUAUUUCGGUAUGUAAAGCUCUAUCAGCAGGGAAGAAAAAAAUGACGGUACCUGAAGAAGAAGCCCCGGCUAACUACGUGCCAGCAGCCGCGGUAAUACGUAGGGGGCAAGCGUUAUCCGGAUUUACUGGGUGUAAAGGGGGCGCAGACGGCGAUGCAAGCCAGGAGUGAAAGCCCGGGGCCCAACCCCGGGACUGCUCUUGGAACUGCGUGGCUGGAGUGCAGGAGGGGCAGGCGGAAUUCCUGGUGUAGCGGUGAAAUGCGUAGAUAUCAGGAGGAACACCGGUGGCGAAGGCGGCCUGCUGGACUGCAACUGACGUUGAGGCCCGAAAGCGUGGGGAGCAAACGGGAUUAGAUACCCGAGUAAG